rnacentral:rRNA from 1 species
UGAGCAAUCUGCCCUUCUCUUCGGAAUAAGCGUUGGAAACGACGUCUAAUGCCGAAUACGACCUCCUUUCGCAUGAUCGGAGGUGGAAAGCUCCGGCGGAGAAGGAUGAGCUCGCGGCCUAUCAGCUAGUUGGUGUGGUAAUGGCCCAUCAAGGCGACGACGGGUAGCCCGGCCUGAGAGGGCAUCGGCCACACUGGGACUGAGACACGGCCCAGCUCCUAGGG